rnacentral:tRNA from 1 species
AUUGGGUUAGCAGAUAUGAAUGUGUUUGAUUUAGGAUCGAAAGGAGGAUGGUUUCCACCUAAUA